rnacentral:lncRNA from 1 species
CUUUUACUCCUUGUUCUGAAUCCCAAUAGCCAGAAGGACUCUGUUCCUUCACCUCACUGUCCUCUGACAGCUCCCCAGAAGUUCUGACUGGACACACUUAGAGGAACUGGAGAGUUGUUGAACAGGGUGCUUUGGUUGUACAGAACUGUACAUCAGAUUUUCUGGGCUACCAUAAAACCAUGGCAUCUGGGCCAGCUCAGUAUCUUGAGGCUUUAAGAGAAAAGAUGUUGAAGCAUUAUCAUAUUGCUGGAAAUGGAGACAAAACCCUUAAACAGUACAGCUAGAGGCGGGAUUUCCAUCUGUUCUGCUAUGGAAAAGAAACUUGUUCAGGAGUGGAGGAUUUGCUGCUUUUUAGAAAAAGAUCAGACAAGAUCCUCUAGCCUGAUGACAACCUAACGAGAAGCACCAUCCAAACAAUGAAGAAGACAUGGAUUGGAAAAGAUCCUUGGGCAUGUGACAGAAAUAAAUGAUCCAGGGGGAUGGGCUAAGGAUGGAUU